rnacentral:rRNA from 1 species
UACGAAGGGGGCUAGCGUUGCUCGGAAUCACUGGGCGUAAAGCGCACGUAGGCGGCUUCUUAAGUCAGGGGUGAAAUCCUGGAGCUCAACUCCAGAACUGCCUUUGAUACUGGGAAGCUUGGAGUCCGGGAGAGGUGAGUGGAACUGCGAGUGUAGAGGUGAAAUUCGUAGAUAUUCGCAAGAACACCAGUGGCGAAGGCGGCUCACUGGCCCGGUACUGACGCUGAGGUGCGAAAGCGUGGGGAGCAAACAGG